AUUGAACGCUGGCGGCAGGCUUAACACAUGCAAGUCGAGCGAGCGGCGGACGGGUGAGUAAGGUCUGGGAAACUGCCUGAUGGAGGGGGAUAACUACUGGAAACGGUAGCUAAUACCGCAUACCAUCAGAUGUGCCCAGAUGGGAUUAGCUAGUAGGUGGGGUAAUGGCGCACCUAGGCGACGAUCCCUAGCUGGUCUGAGAGGAUGACCACCCACUCUUGACCUGUGCCACGUUCCAGCCUCCUACGGGCGGCAGCAGUGGCGAAUAUUGCACAUUGGGCGCAAGCCUGAUGCAGCCAUGCCGCGUGUUUGCAGAAGGCCUUCGGGUUGUAAAGCACUUUCAGCGAGGAGGCGUUACUCGCAGAAGAAGCACCGGCUAACUCCGUGCCAGCAGCCGCGGUAAUAC
rnacentral:rRNA from 1 species